rnacentral:misc_RNA from 1 species
CGAGCUGCGCGCUGCAUGUGUAUGUGUGUGUGCGAAAAUAUUAAUUGAUACCUUAACGAUGCGAUGCAGUGCCGUGUGAUAUACUUUGGAGCUGUUUGUUUUUAUAUUCAACAAUUCAACAUUUAAGACAGCUUUUGUCUGUUCGACAUAACGUGCUCUCCGCUGCUCGAGCCCAAAAAAAAGAAAAGAACCGUAGCGACGGAGGUGAACAGCGACGUGCAGCACACACACUAAAACAAACAUACACCACACACACACACACUCAGAGAGACCGACAGCGUAAAGGCAUACGGAAAAACGCACACACCCAUACAAAUGCCAUAAAUUGAAGUGUAUUUGUAAAUUAUUGUAUUGUUGGAAAGAAAGCAAGCAAGCACACGCAUACGGCGAAAAGUACGCAAAGAAUCUUUAAAUUUUGCCAAAGUUUCGGUUCGCAACGCUACGCUCUGUUACAUCGCCGAUUCGAUUGCUAAUAUUCCGAAUAUCCAGCGUGCGUGCGUGAGAUCAACCUUGCCGCCCGCCCACAAAAAUAUCCUCCGCCCAGCGCCACCCACUCUUCUCGUUUUAUUAUUUUUUUUUUUGUUUUUUGUAUUCGAAUACGGAAAAAUCGGAAAGCGAGCGGCCCGCAAAUAUAUAUAUAUUUAUUUAUAUUUAUUGACAACGAGCAGCGAACAAGCAAGUACUUGAUAUUCAGUGAGCAAAUUUGAAGGCAGAAAAAAGCAGAAAAGCUAAAAAAGCGGAAACGCCGCAUAGCGGCAGCAGUUGUCCAAGUAAAAAAGCACAUCCAGUGAGUCCCGAUCCUACAGAGAAAUCCAUACCAUCAGUACCGAUCCUUCGCGGAGGAGCCGCCCCAAUUCAGCACCAUUCAAGUGCCGACUAAAAUGGAAAUUGAAACAGAUCAGUCUAUUGAAGCAAUGGACACCCAGGACACCCAAGAGGUCGAGAUCCUCACCAGUGACCUCCAGCAGCAGCAGCAACAACAACAACAGACUCCGCAACAGCAGCAGAAUUCGCCGCCUCAAUUGCCCAAAUUCAAAAAUCUUAUCCAGCCACAAUUGCACGCCGUUGGCGCUGUAACCCAGUUGCCCAGCGAGAACGGCAAUGUGCCGCCACAGCAACUAUUGGCGGAUAGCAGCUCCACUUCGUUCGGCGACGCCGAGGCCAUGGGCAUUGACGAUGAGUCCAAGGAGGAUCAGUUCCGCUCGGAGACCACAUUCUCCUUUACCGUCGAGAAUGUAGUUCAAUUGAAAUCGCAGAGACUGUCGCCGCCAGUGUAUGUCCGCAUGUUGCCAUGGAGAAUUAUGGUCAUACCCAAUGAUCGUGCGCUGGGCUUCUUCCUGCAAUGCAAUGGUGAGAAUGAUUCGCCCACCUGGUCAUGCAAUGCCAUUGCUGAGCUGCGUUUGAAGAGCCACAAGCCGGAUGCACAGCCAUUCAGCCGUGCUCGCAUUAAGCAUUUGUUCUACUCCAAGGAGAACGACUAUGGCUACUCGAACUUCAUCACCUGGCCGGAGCUGCAGGAUUCCGACAAGAGCUAUGUGCACAACAACAGCAUCACCCUGGAGGUGCACGUAAUUGCGGAUGCACCGCAUGGCGUUUUGUGGGACUCGAAGAAGCACACAGGCUAUGUGGGCCUCAAAAAUCAGGGCGCAACCUGCUAUAUGAACUCGCUGCUGCAGACAUUGUACUUCACCAAUUCUCUAAGACUGUCUGUGUAUCGCAUACCCACAGAGGCUGACGAUAGCACCAAAUCAGUUGGACUAUCGCUGCAGCGUGUGUUUCAUGAACUGCAGUUUGGUGACCGCCCCGUGGGCACCAAGAAGCUAACCAAGUCCUUUGGCUGGGAGACGCUCGAUUCGUUCAUGCAGCACGAUGUCCAGGAGUUCCUUCGCGUGCUGCUCGACAAGCUCGAGUCAAAGAUGAAGGGCACAACACUGGAGGGCACCAUACCGGGUCUGUUCGAGGGCAAAAUGUCUUCGUACAUUAAAUGCAAGAACGUUGACUACAACAGCACACGCUACGAGACGUUCUACGACAUCCAGCUGAACAUCAAGGAUAAGAAGAACAUCUACGAGUCCUUCCAGGAUUACGUAGCUCCCGAGACGCUGGAGGGUGACAACAAAUACGAUGCUGGUGUGCAUGGCUUGCAGGAAGCCAGCAAGGGCGUAAUCUUCACUUCAUUCCCACCCGUUUUGCAUCUGCACCUGAUGCGCUUCCAGUACGAUCCCGUCACGGACAGCUCGAUUAAGUACAACGAUCGCUUUGAGUUCUACGAACAGAUCAAUCUGGAUCGCUACCUAGCCGAGAGCGAGAAGACCUCGGCGGACUACGUUCUGCACGCCGUCCUGGUGCACUCUGGCGAUAACCAUGGCGGGCACUAUGUGGUCUUCAUUAAUCCAAAGGCUGACGGACGUUGGUUUAAGUUCGACGACGAUGUGGUCUCCAGUUGCCGCAAGCAGGAGGCGAUCGAACAGAACUACGGCGGUAUGGACGACGAGAUCUCGUUCCAUGCGAAGUGCAGCAAUGCCUAUAUGCUGGUCUACAUCCGCCAAUCGGAGUUGGAGCGCGUCCUUGGCGACAUACCAGAGAACGAGAUCUCAAGCGACCUGGUGGAGCGCCUCGAUCUGGAGAAGCGCAUCGAAAUGGCGCGACGCAAGGAGCGCAGCGAGGCCAACCUUUAUGUGUCCGUGCACGUGAACCUCGAGGAGUACUUCGACGACCAGCACAAGGGUCGCCUCUUCGAUCUGGAGAAAGCUCAUCCGCGCAUCUUCCGCAUCAAGCAAAAUCAGACUGUCGACGAGCUGGUGGACAUGUUUGUCAAGGGUUUCGGAGUGUCGCGCGAACGCAUGCGAAUGUGGAACAUGUGCACCGCCCAGCCCCAAAAGUUUUUGCAUUUUGAUUUCGUGGCGGAGGCGUCACGCGCCAUCGAGCAGAUACCGACCUCACAGAAACCGUGGGUCAUCUGGCUGGAGCUAGCCUGGCCGGAUGUUUCUGGUCCCCUGCCGUCCUUUAAUCCCAAGACCGAAGUCCUGCUGUUCCUCAAGUACUAUGAUGCGCGUAACAAGCGCCUGAACUACAUUGGAUGUACCCAGCAGCCGCACACCCGCCGCCUUAUCGAUCUGGUGCCGGAGGUUAAUCGGAAACUGGGCUUCGAUGCGGACACCGAGCUGACCAUCUUCGAUGAGUCCGCCGACAAGAAGCUGGUCAAUCUGAACGAGCCCAUUGAGAGUGUGCUGUUCAUACCGCAGGACCACCUGCAAGGCCACAUCCUAAUCUUCGAACGUGAAAACGUCGACGCCAAACUCGACCUGCCCACGGUGCAGGACUACUUCCAUGAUAUCGUCCAUCGCGUCGAGAUCAUCUUCAGCGACAAAUGUAACCCCAAUGAGCCGGACUUUACGCUGAAGCUGUCCGGUCGCUACAACUACGAUCAACUCACCAAUGCGGUGGCCGAGCGCUUGAAUACCGAUCCACAGAAGCUGCAGUUUUUUAUGUGCAUCAACAACUACAAGGAAACGGCGGGCAAUGCAGUGCCCUACACAUUUAAGGGAACCAUCAAAGAUCUGGUGUCCUACACCAAACUGAGCACGCCCAAGCGUAUUUUCUACCAGCGCCUGUCGCUCAGCAUCCAUGAGCUGGACAACAAGAAGCAGUUUAAAUGCGUCUGGGUGAGCAGCGACCUCAAGGACGAGAAGGAACUGGUGCUGUACCCCAACAAGAACGAUACGGUAAAGGGACUGCUGGAGGAGGCGGCCAAGAAGAUUACAUUUGCGGAGAACAGUCGUCGCAAGUUGCGCCUGAUGAAGGUUAGCCAUCAUAAAAUCGUGGCGAUAUGCAAGGAUGAUAUACCGCUGGAUACGCUGCUAAAGACCAACGAGUCAAUCACGACCACACAGGGCGGUCAAAAGGCUUAUCGCAUCGAGGAGGUGCCGGCGGAGGAGAUGCAGCUGGCGGAGAACGAGUUCCUCAUCCCAGUGGGCCACUUCAGCAAGGAGCUGUACAACUCGUUCGGCGUACCCUUCCUAGCCAAGGCACGCCACGGCGAGCCGUAUGGUGCGCUAAAGCAGCGCAUCCAGCGGCGUCUGAAUGUGCCGGACAAGGAGUGGGAAAACUACAAAUUCUCCGUGAUCUCCAUGGGCCACAAUUCGGAUGUGAACGACAAUACGCCCGUCGACCUGGAGGUGUAUCGCUCGUGGACCAGCGGACAGUUGCCCUUCUUUGGUUUGGAUCACAUCAACAAGUCGCGCAAGCGCAGCUCGCUUAACUUUUCCGAGAAGGCCAUCAAGAUCUACAACUAGGGCGUUUUGUUCGGAGCGGCGACACAAACGGAACAAAGCUGGCUUUUAAGCUGUAAACUGGAUGAAGCAGAAGUGAACUUGAAACGGAUCGAAUCGGUUACUUUUGUCUAAUUGUAAAUAAGCGUUCGUUGCAAGUUGCCCAUUAAAAAGUAUAAACAAACAAAUAGAGGAAACAAACAAACAAAAGCAAACACACAUAUGUAACAAAGAGAGGAGGCGAAGGAGGAAAGAAGAGAUGAGGGAAAGGAAAGAGAAGAGAAGAAAAGGAAAAACCUUAAACUAAUAGAAGGCAUAGGAAGAACCUAAACUAAAUAAAAGCAACCAACAAGAGAAACAGAUAUAAAUAUAUAUAUAUAUAAAUACGCGAGAGAGGAUGAGCUGUAAACAAUUAAAGGCAACUAUGUAACAAGUAUAACUUUAAACGAAACAAACGAUAAACAAAACAAAAGAAAAAGAGUCAUCAAGUUGCACCAAACGAGACGAGGACGAGAACGAGGACGAUGAAAAUGGAGGCGGUGGAUAUGAUAAGAUAUAUUCAUUCGGUCGGCAAGUCGAAAGAGAGAGACAACGUGUGUGGGAGA